rnacentral:rRNA from 1 species
UAGGGAAUCUUCGGCAAUGGGGGGAACCCUGACCGAGCAACGCCGCGUGAGUGAAGAAGGUUUUCGGAUCGUAAAGCUCUGUUGUUAAGGAAGAACGAGUGUGAGAAUGGAAAGUUCAUACUGUGACGGUACUUAACCAGAAAGGGACGGCUAACUACGUGCCAGCAGCCGCGGUAAUACGUAGGUCCCGAGCGUUGUCCGGAUUUAUUGGGCGUAAAGCGAGCGCAGGCGGUUAGAUAAGUCUGAAGUUAAAGGCAGUGGCUCAACCAUUGUAGGCUUUGGAAACUGUUUAACUGGAGUGCAGAAGGGGAGAGUGGAAUUCCAUGUGUAGCGGUGAAAUGCGUAUAUAUAUGGAGGAACACCGGUGGCGAAAGCGGCUCUCUGGUCUGUAACUGACGCUGAGGCUCGAAAGCGUGGGGAGCGAACAGG